CUUGAUCUAAUAUAAGAGGUCCAGCCUGCCCAGUGACAUAUAGUUCAACGGCCGCGGUAUCCUAACCGUGCGAAGGUAGCGUAAUCACUUGUUCUUUAAUUGAGGACUAGUAUGAACGGCUUCACGAAGACUACACUGUCUCCUUUUUCUAAUCAAUGAAACUAAUCUCCCCGUGAAGAAGCGGGGAUAAACCUAUAAGACGAGAAGACCCUAUGGAGCUUUAAACGAUCGAAAUAUUUGCUACCUCACUUUUCACCUCCUGAGAACUAAAUAUAUUUUCAGCAUCUUAAUUUCUAGUUUUAGGUUGGGGUGACCACGGAGAACAAACUAACCUCCACGCUGAACGAGCCUUUCUCUUAGCAAAAAGUCACAACUUUAUGCAUCAAUACAUUGACUUCCAUUGACCCAAUUUUUGACCAACGAAC
rnacentral:rRNA from 1 species